CAUGCAAGUCGAGGGGUAGAAAGAAGCUUGCUUUUUUGAGACCGGGCGCACGGGUGAGUAACGCGUAUGCAACAUACUUAUACAGGGGAAUAGCCCGAAGAAAUUCGGAUUAAUGCUCCAUGGUUUAUCGAUAUGGCAUCGUAUUGAUAAUAAAGAUUUAUCGGUAUAAGAUGGGCAUGCGUAUCAUUAGCUAGUUGGUGUGGUAACGGCAUACCAAGGCAACGAUGAUUAGGGGUCCUGAGAGGGAGAUCCCCCACACUGGUACUGAGACACGGACCAGACUCCUACGGGAGGCAGCAGUGAGGAAUAUUGGUCAAUGGAGGCAACUCUGAACCAGCCAUGCCGCGUGCAGGAUGACGGUCCUAUGGAUUGUAAACUGCUUUUGUACAGGAAGAAACCUCCCUACGAGUAGGGACUUGACGGUACUGUAAGAAUAAGGAUCGGCUAACUCCGUGCCAGCAGCCGCGGUAAUACGGAGGAUCCGAGCGUUAUCCGGAAUUAUUGGGUUUAAAGGGUUCGUAGGCGGCUUUGUAAGUCAGUGGUGAAAUUUCCUAGCUUAACUAGGACACUGCCAUUGAUACUGCAGAGCUUGAAUAAUAUGGAAGUAACUAGAAUAUGUAGUGUAGCGGUGAAAUGCUUAGAUAUUACAUGGAAUACCAAUUGCGAAGGCAGGUUACUACGUAUUUAUUGACGCUGAUGAACGAAAGCGUGGGGAGCGAACAGGAUUAGAUACCCUGGUAGUCCACGCCGUAAACGAUGGAUACUAGCUGUUCGGUUUUCGGACUGAGUGGCUAAGCGAAAGUGAUAAGUAUCCCACUG
rnacentral:rRNA from 1 species